CUGAACCGUUGACACGAGUUGUUGCUGGUCCUCGAAAGGGGACAUGUGCACGCUCUGUCUACACAUCCACUCACACCUGUGCACUCUGUGUAGCUCUAUGGCCUUGGGGACUCUGUCCUCAGCUGUGGUUCUACAUCUUUACACACACACCGUAAUAAAGUCUCAUGGAGUGUAUGUCGCGUUUAACGCAAUACAAUA
rnacentral:misc_RNA from 1 species